rnacentral:lncRNA from 1 species
UAUAAUCUAUCUAUAUUAGCUAUAGAAAAAAGUAAACAGUAAGUUGGACCGACAAUUCAUAUAUAGGUCUAACUUUUAACACAAACCCAAUGAUUUAUUUAGCAUACAUAACGUGCUUGGUAAUUACUCUUCAAAUCACACGUACAAUAUCUACAUAAUGGAAGAACAAUUAUAAAUCCUACAUCAACCUUAUACUCUUUUAUCAUCUUCAAAUGCUAAUCUUAUCAAUUAAGCUUUUCUUUUAAUAAUCGUGAUGUCAGGGCUAACUCACGCACGUUUCGGCUAAUUCCAAAAGGUUCCUUCUCA